rnacentral:lncRNA from 1 species
CAGGAGCCAGCCUUGUCAGAUCCAACUAUUGUCUCACGCAAUAGCAAGGGCUGCCUGAUCGGCCUCAGGCAACAAUGAAACUGAGAAGAGCUGAUGAUAGGGCUCAGUGUGCAUGAACACUGGGCAUUUAGGGCAUGUUAGGUGCACGGCGGGCAUGUAGGACAGCAGGGCACGGGAGCGGCUCCUGAGGUUGACAACAUGGUGCGGAGGUACCCUGAGAAGGAAACGUACGUGGACUAUGGAGUGUACUAGGAACUAGGUGUGAGCCCUCCGCGCGGGGCCUGCUGGGAGCACAGAGCCUCCGGGAGCGCGGGGCAGCGGGAAGUGGUUGGUCCCUGAGAGCAGCGACUGGAAAGGUCUGAUUGCUGAGACAUACAGUUGACACGAAAUAUGAAUGAUUCUAGGCAGCAGUCAUUGUUCUUCAUCACACUUCCAGAUAUACACAAGCUGUGUGCUGUCCCAAUAAUAUUAAGUAACAGAGUGACGGAUACCGACAUUAGGAGUACACAAAUGAAGAUGUGCAGACAGUUGCUACUUUUACAUGAAGAUAUUCUUGCAGCACCUGUACCUGGAAUCUUCAGCCAAAUCUGGGUGGUGAUGGCGAUACCAUUUUUUAAAGCUGGGAUACUUAAUGCUUAUAUUGAAAAAUAUGAAGCUAAGGUGGAGGCUCCACAAAAAGUAAUUCCUGUAAUUCUUCAGAACUGCAUUUCAUAUUCACUCAUGGCUAGACUUGCUCCAGCCUGGAAUCGAGUUGGCCAUCUCUUAGUACAAGGAAAAGAUUUUCUUUCUCAGAUGGGAAAGCAAAGUGCUGUUGUGUUAGACAUCAAUGUAACAGAAACUCAAGUUUGUCUGAGUAUAGAAGUUUGCACUGUCAGACUGCCACCACCUGAGCUAAAAGAAUUUGAUAUUUCUGAGAGUACUAUAGAGAAUUUUCAUACUAAUAAGACUGCUGUCAUUGAAAGACAUUCUAUUUUGAGCAACUGGUGCUACAUUUUGCCAAGUAUGAAAAUGGGACAAAUAAUAAAUAUUCUUCAUGCCUCACCCGCUGACUGUCCAUUUCACUCAUUCAAAGAUUUCCAGAUGCACUGGGAUGACUUGUAUGGCUAUAAACUUCCAGAAGAUGGUAGAAAUAUUAAAAUAUACUGCAGCGUCUACUUCAAAAUGAUUGGAGAAAGGACUUUCACAUACCCUCUCAGUUGUGUUAGAAGUCAGCCCAUACAGUUCUUCCCCAGGGUAGAUUUGGAAGGUGUGUUGAAAAGUUUUCUUUCAGAUUUAAAAUCUAAAUUGCCUCAUAUAUGUGGAUUUCCCAUAAAGAUGACAAGUAAGGCAUGCUACUCUACACAGGAACUAACCAAACCUCAUGUACAGGAAAACAAAGUCAAGCCACCCAAUCUGACCACUAAAAAACUGUUCAAGACUUCUGUGACUCAAGCCAGUGCCAGAAAACCUGUUCCAGUUCCAAGUCUUCUCCCAUGUUCAGUAGUAGCAGACCACAAGAUGGAACAUUCCAUCAAGCAGCCACAGCCAGGCAUUUCCUCAGCUCUACAUUAUCAGCCAGAGUCCAUUCACAGUGCAAAGCAGUUCCUGUCUCACAAGGUACCACAACGACAUUUGGAAGAAUCAAAGCCCAAUAAAGAAGAUACUCAAGUUCAACACACAAAUCUUAGCUCCCAAAGUAAUAUCACACCUAAAUUCAUACCAGUUUUCAAAAAUAGAUUAUCAUUGAUGAAUAAAAAUAUUUCAGUACUUAGCAAACAGAAAAGAAAACAGCGUGUCAUAAUGGACUCGAAAUUGUUUUCACAUAAAACUAGUAUAAUCCAGGAUACCAAACUUAAUUUAGGCCCAAAUAUUAAAAAUAGAUCUAAUAGUAACAUUCAAAUACAUGGUAGAAAUUUAAAUCAGAAGAGCUCCAGACCUCCGCAAGAAAAAAGUACUGAAUGUUAUGAAAAUAUGACAAAAUAUCCCUCUUCUAAUGGAAAAUCGAUUGUGAGCUUAAAUGAAAGUAAACAACUGUCUAACAGUAUGGUGUGUCAGGUAUCAAAUAACAGUUUAAGUGUGAGGAAAAAUGCUAUGGACAUCUCUGGAAAAGAAAAUCUAACAAGUAAAUGUAUAACACAGAUUUUAAGAAAAGACUAUGAGUCAGUGAAACUAAAGAGACAACCACAUAUUUUUGAACCAGACAUAGAAACUGAAGAUGCGCAACUACCACAACAGUGGGCAAACCAAACUAAAGAAGUUGAUUUAAGUGACCGCAGCUUGAUAACAAGCAGAACAGCUCACAGGUCUAAAAGAAAAUUAUGUCCUGACUCUUCAAAAACUUCAAAGCAUCAUUGUGAUACUCUGCAUUAUGGACAAUCCAGUUCUAGGAAACAGAUAUAUGACUUGGAUAAAUCAAAAGCUAAGAAAUUUCACACCAUUCCUGAAGCUUAGAACAUGGAUAGGAAAGAAGAGAAUUUCCACCAGAGAUGACCACUCUGAGCAAUGACGAGCACUCUUCUAGGUGUCUGUCCUGGUCACUCCUAUGAGAAUGAACCCGCUCUCCACACUGCUGCGGAACAUCCUUAAGCACUUGAAACUGUCUUUGUAACAUUUGCAUAGUAGUCCAUUGUUUGUGGUAUACUGUAUUUAAUUCCCUAUUGAUUGAAACUUAAAUUACUGCUGACUUCACUAUUGUAACAGUCUUAUAAAUAGGCUUAUAUGAGUCUUUGUAUUCAAUCACCUUAUAUAGUGGUUUUGCUAGUUGAAAAUUAUUUUACCCUAUUUUUUUUUGUUGAAACUUAUUUGAAGUCAUUAUUGUUAUUGUUAAAAUUUUCAAACCAAAGUAUAGGUGAAGAACCACUAAGUGCCUAUUUCCCAUAUCUACCACUUACACACCACUUUUUUGGUAAUAUUUCAAAGCAAAUUCAAGACAUCAUAUAAUUUCAUUCAUAAAUACUUCCGUGUAUAUCUCAAACACACGAUAUAGUGUGUUUUUAAGGAUAAAAGAAUAUGUAUAUAUUACAUUUUUGUGGUGUAUAUUUGUGGUGUUUAUCUCCAUUGGCUCACUAAAUUUCACUUUUAUUUUUACAUGCGUACUAAUAGGAAGCCCUGAAUAUCUAAAGCCUCUUUUACAGUACAACUAGAGCCUUUAUUGCGGUAGAGAUUUCUGUGUUCAGCAGUACUCAUUAUGCUAAGUGCCAGACAGUGCCCAUUACUGAAACAGACAAGAUGACCAGGACCCAAGCCCCACAGCUGGCAGUCCAGUCGCUACCCCAGAUAGAUAGAUAGACAGACAGACAGACAGAUAGAUGGAUCUCCAGAAUAAAUAAGCUUUCGGGUCCAUAUUGUAAAUAAACUAACAUCUGGAAAAAAGAAAAUAAACACAAAUAGAGCUUUUCACCUAAUGAGUAUUUUUUUCAUUUAAACAUUUUAGGUACUCAUUUUAUAAAAAAGAUAUAAUUGUAAUUAUUUAAUAUCAAAAAUCUUCAUUGAUUCAUUAAGUAAAAAUCAAUACAGAACUAAGUUGGAGCUGAACUUUGUUUAAAUAUGGUUUACUGUCUACCAAAUGUUGCAGUUUAAUCAUUACAGUACAUGUGAUUUUUGCUCUUGAAAUUGUGCCUAGUUAAUUAAUUUACUGUAUGUGUUUACUAUAAGCAUUUCUGUUUUCUAGAAUUAUUUCUGUUUCCCAGUUUACCCUUUUCAUAGAGAUAUAUUUGGCUUAGCAUAUUUUGAGUGUGCCUUUCUCUUUUUGAAACCGGUACUGUGGAUAAAUAGCAGGCUACAGUAGAGUUGGAUGCCCUUUGUUUGUGAGGCUCCAGUGACAGUCUUUGUUUAUGAAAGUAAUGUUCAUAAAUGUGUGUGUGUGGUCAGCACAGUCAUGCACACACGUAACCAUUCUUCAACCAGCCUGCCCACCGUUCUUGGAAUUUCCAGGCUUCUUUCUGCUAUUGUCCUGUCGUUAUGCCUUAGGCAAUGAAGACAUACAGUAUUAUUAACCAGGCAAAAUAGCUAAAAAGAGAAAUCCAUUGCCGAAGUGUGUGUGGUAUCUCCCAAUUCUUCACACAAAGAAUCUAGAAAGUCCCUCUUUCACUUCAUUGGUAUCUAAAAUUUAGAAUUUACUAAAAUUUAGAUAAUUUAUCUACAGUAUAUUUCAUGUAGAUAAAUGUUAACUUACAUGGCAAAAUGAUUUAUUAAUCAGUCUAUAUUCUUGUGUAAAGUAAGUUUAUUUUUAAUCUUACUAUGUUUAUCCUAAGGACAGUUUACUAUAUAUAUACAAUAUAUAUAUAAUAUAUAAUAUAUAUAACUAAUAUAUAUAUUAUAUAUAUAUACACACAUAUAUAUGUGUGUGUGAUUUAAGAUAGAUUGCUGGCUUAGCAUUCCAUGUACCGAGAAAAGGUUCUAGACUAAAUUUCUGUGCUCAGGAUCACCAAAGAAAUCAGGGAAGAUUUUGUCUAUUUCAAUGAUUGUAACUUCUGAAAGCCAAGAUAAUUUCAAAUUUAAUUAGAGAACACUAAACUUUACUUUCUGUUUAUUUGAGUUUUUGGUGACUUUGGUGUGCAGCGUGGAUCCCCUCCUCUCAAACAAAAACAAUCAUUCUUUAUAUUCCAAUUGUGCAUUAGCAUUAGAGCCAUUACAAUUUUAAAAGUAUAAAUAAAUGGGUUUGUUUGCCUAUAGCCAGGAACUUAAGAAAUCAGCCAUACCAUUUUAAAAAAACUUAUGGAAAUAGGCCAGAAUUAAUGCCAAGAAUCAUAUUUACAAGAAUGCAAAAGUACUUCUCUUACACUAUUCAUGUAUAUUCAUUUAUAAUUCUAUUAUAUUUUGUUAUACGUUUUUAUUAUAUUUGUUGCUUACAGUCAUAAAAGUUAAAAAAUUUGCAAUGCUCAAUGAUUAAAUUUUAUUUGACUAACCAGUUUACUACUAGUUUUUGCUUUCUUUUUUCAAAUUGCAUAUCUUCUGGUGUUACAUUGAGACUACUAGUACAUUAAAUAUUUAUUGAUAUUUAUAAAUGUAAAUAUAAAGAUUUGAGGAUGUUGUGGUCCUUAUGUAUUGAUGCUUAAAAUGUUUGUGUUUUAUCAUACGUAUUUUUAAAAAUAAAAAAUAAUGAAA